AGCGGCGGACGGGUUAGUAACGCGUGGGAAUAUGCCCAAAGGUACGGAAUAGCCUCUGGAAACGGAGAGUAAUACCGUAUGUGCCCUUCGGGGGAAAGAUUUAUCGCCUUUGGAUUAGCCCGCGUUGGAUUAGGUAGUUGGUGGGGUAAUGGCCUACCAAGCCUACGAUCCAUAGCUGGUUUGAGAGGAUGAUCAGCAACACUGGGACUGAGACACGGCCCAGACUCCUACGGGAGGCAGCAGUAGGGAAUCUUAGACAAUGGGCGAAAGCCUGAUCUAGCCAUGCCGCGUGAGUGAAGAAGGCCCUAGGGUCGUAAAGCUCUUUCGCCAGGGAUGAUAAUGACAGUACCUGGUAAAGAAACCCCGGCUAACUCCGUGCCAGCAGCCGCGGUAAUACGGAGGGGGUUAGCGUUGUUCGGAAUUACUGGGCGUAAAGCGUACGUAGGCGGAUUAGUCAGUCAGAGGUGAAAUCCCAGGGCUCAACCCUGGAACUGCCUUUGAUACUGCUAGUCUUGAGUUCGAGAGAGGUGAGUGGAAUUCCAAGUGUAGAGGUGAAAUUCGUAGAUAUUUGGAGGAACACCAGUGGCGAAAGCGGCUCACUGGCUCGAUACUGACGCUGAGGUACGAAGUGUGGGGAGCAAACAGGAUUAGAUACCCUGGUAGUCCACACCGA
rnacentral:rRNA from 1 species